CUAAGCAUGAAGCCCCCCUUGAGAUGAGAUUUCCCCUUACGCCAAGUAAGUAAGAUCCCUCAGAGACGAUGAGGUUGAUAGGUCCGAGGUGGAAGCGUGGUGACACGUGGAGCUGACGGAUACUAAUGGAUCGAUGACUUAUCUA
rnacentral:rRNA from 1 species